rnacentral:rRNA from 1 species
AAGCUCGUAGUUGAAUUUCGGGGUUAGUAGGUUGGUCAUGCCUCUGGUAUGUACUGGUCUCACUGAUUCCUCCUUCCUUAUGAACCGUAAUGCCAUUAAUUUGGUGUUGCGGGGAAUUUGGACUGUUACUUUGAAAAAAUUAGAGUGUUUAAAGCAAGCUAACGCUUGAAUACAUUAGCAUGGAAUAAUGAAAUAGGACGUUCGAUCUUAUUUUGUUUGGUUUUCUAGGGUAUUGACGUAAUGAUUAAUAGGAUAGUUGGG